AGCUUUCCGUUCUACAGGCGGAUGGGGUUUUACCUGUACAUCUUCAAAAAGGUGUAUUUGCUUUCGAAAGGGUGCUUGCUGAAUUAAAGUACGUGUAUGACAAUGUCGAUAGUUUUGUUCAAAAGCUUGCUCAUACCGUUGACGUGGUUUCAGCGAUGCAUGGAAAGCCCGAGACUUUAUGUGAUGUGGGAAACGUGAAACCUAAAAGACAAGCAAAGGUCCUCCAGGUCCUCCAGAGGAACAUUGGGAUAGUUGAAACACAAAUAGAAGCUCUACGUGCCACAAAAGACUACUGUGAUAGAUCUUUGCAACAGGU